AUGAAAGCGGGUACCUGUGCCAGAUGAAAGGUUUGACUUUUUUUGCCGGUACCACACACCAGCAAGCAAAAUUCCUGCCUUUCUAAAUGUAGUGGAUAUUGCUGGCCUUGUGAAAGGAGCUUCACAAUGGUCAAGCCUUGGGAAAUGCCUUUUUAUCUUGUAUCAGUGCCUGUGAUGGAAUCUUUCAUCUAACACGUGCUUUUGAAGAUGAUGAUAUCACGUAUGUUGAAGGAAGUGUAGAUCCUAUUCGAGAUAUAGAAAUAAUACACGAAGAACUUCAGCUUAAAGAUGAGGAAAUGAUUGGGCCCAUUAUAGAUAAACUAGAAAAAGUGGUUGUGAGAGGAGGAGAUAAAAAAUUAAAACCUGAAUAUGAUAUAAUGUGCAAAGUCAAAUCCUGGGUUAUAGAUCAGAAGAAACCUGUUCGCUUCUAUCAUGAUUGGAACGACAAAGAGAUUGAAGUGUUGAAUAAACACUUAUUUCUGACUUCAAAACCAAUGUCUACUUGGUUAAUCUUUCUGGAAAAAAACUACAUUAGAAAGAAAAACAAAUGGUUGAUAAAAAUUAAAGAGUGGGUGGACAAGUAUGACCCAGGUGCCUUGGUCAUUCCUUUUAGUGGGGCCUUGGAACCCAAGUUGCAAGAAUUGAGUGCUGAGGAGAGACAGAAGUAUCUGGAAGUGAACAUGACACAAAGCGCUUUGCCAACCAUCAUUAAAGCUGGGUUUGCAGCACUCCAACUAGAACACUGCAGGCCCAGAUGGAGUACAUGCAUGGACCAUCAGGAAAGGGACAAAGGCUCCUCAAGUUGCAGGAAAGAUUCACACAGAUUUUGAAAAAGGAUUCAUUAUGGCUGAAGUAAUGAAAUAUGAAGAUUUUAAAGAGGAAGGUUCUGAAAAUGCGGUCAAGGCUGCUGGAAAGUACAGACAACAAGGCAGAAAUUAUAUUGUUGAAGAUGGAGAUAUUAUCUUCUUCAAAUUUAAUACAACUCAGCAACUGAAGAAGAAAUAAAUUUUAGUUACUAUUCAGAUAAAUGUACAACUUCCAAAAAUGGAUAUGAUUUUUUUAAAUCAACAUUUCUGAAAACUGAGGGGAAAAUAAAGUUGGGGAAUGGGAAUCUUCUAAAAACAGAAUUAUUUUUGUUUUAAAAUUAAAAUACUGUGUACCGCCAGUGAAAUGCAAGUUCACUGAAUGUGAACAGCUUGCUUUUCACGUGAUUAAGACCCUACUCCAAAUUGUAGAUGCUUUUCAGGAACCAUAUUACUCUCAUGAUACUUCAUUAAUCUCCAUCAUGUAUUCCAAGCCUGACACAUUUUGACAGUGAGGACAAUGU